CUAACCCUGAACUGCACUUUGAAUAAAGAGAAUCUUGACCACAGAGUACCAAGGAAAGCAUAAACCUCUUUAGGUUUAGAACUGAUGAAUGAGCACUUAAAAUAGCGACUUGGACCAUUGGAACUUUUAUUUUGCGUCUUCUCUAAAAAAAUAAUCGUUACUUGCUGGAAAAAAAUCUGAAGGUACUUUUUCAGAUAGGAGGAUGCCAAGAGAAGAAAAGCAUUUUCUCUGUCUUCAAAGAGGAAAAGAUGAGCAUAGUGAAUUUCGGGUGUUGUAUUUAUUCAGCUUGGACGUUUAAAAGAUACUUGGCUUUCCCAUACUAUCUUGACAUGCAUUUUGCUGUUACUUCUACCUGGGAUGCUGGCACUGCCCACCACACACUGUUGAAGACUCAGUUCAGGAAUUGUUAGGAGUUCUAGAAGAGGGAUGGAAUGCAAACAACAACUCCCUUUCUCUCCAGGAAGAAGAGACCUGAAGCCCACGAUUGUGGUUUUUGAAGACUGAGCUCUCUGCCCUUGCGUAAGGAGGUCCAAGAUUUCUCCUUGAUAAAAAUGUGGACUGAAAUGCUAGUUAAAAGAAGCAAUUAGGGCUUUUGGUAUAGAGAAAUAUUUGGAAGCUGAAGAGACUGAGGUGGACUGGAAAAGAUUUGGAGAUGCCAAACAUCACAACUCAGAGACAGGAAAGUGGUCUGAAAAUAUAGCAGCUGCCUGGAGGUGCCAGGUGAGUGGGCUUGGAGAAGAGCCACGAUGAGGGCCACUGUUGGAGUCAUACUGAAGAAACUCUUCACAGCCUUCCCCAGAGGACUAUGCAGUUAAGCGGCAAUUCUGCCUCAUGUAGACAAAUAAUCAUGGAAGGUGAUUCGCAGCCUGUGAUCAACUUCUUUUUUAUCCCAGCAAAAAUAAGUGAUUCCUGAAAAUUAUCAAAAUAAUCAAACACAAGGAGAGUCUGAGAAACUGUCACAGCCAAGAGGAAUCUUAAGGUGACAUGAUGGCUAAAGGCAAUGUGGUACUCUAAAUGGGAUCUUGCAAAAGAAAAAGAACAUUGGGGGAAAACUACAGAAAUCUGAAUAAAGUAGAGACUUUAGUUAA